GACGAACGCUGGCGGCGUGCUUAACACAUGCAAGUCGUACGGUAAGGCCCUUUCGGGGGUACACGAGUGGCGAACGGGUGAGUAGCACGUGAGUAACCUGCCCACAACUUUGGGAUAACGCUAGGAAACUGGUGCUAAUACUGGAUAUGUGCUCCUGCUGCAUGGUGGGGGUUGGAAAGCUCCGGCGGUUGUGGAUGGACUCGCGGCCUAUCAGCUUGUUGGUGGGGUAGUGGCCUACCAAGGCGGCGACGGGUAGCCGGCCUGAGAGGGUGACCGGCCACAGUGGGACUGAGAUACGGCCCAGACUCCUACGGGAGGCAGCAGUGGGGAAUAUUGCACAAUGGGCGCAAGCCUGAUGCAGCAACGCCGCGGGCGGGAUGACGGCCUUCGGGUUGUAAACCGCUUUCAGCAGGGACGAAGCUUUUUGUGACGGUACCUGCAGAAGAAGCACCGGCUAACUACGUG
rnacentral:rRNA from 1 species